UGGGGAAUAUUGGACAAUGGGCGAAAGCCUGAUCCAGCAAUGCCGCGUGAGUGAUGAAGGCCUUCGGGUUGUAAAGCUCUUUUGUCGGGGAAGAAAAGGCUAUGGUUAAUAGCCAGGAUGUUGACRGUUCCUGAAGAAUAAGCACCGGCUAACUACAUGCCAGCAGCCGCGGUAAUAA
rnacentral:rRNA from 1 species